UACGUAGGGCGCAAGCGUUGUCCGGAAUUAUUGGGCGUAAAGCGCUCGUAGGCGGCUUGUCACGUCGGAUGUGAAAGCCCGAGGCUUAACCUCGGGUCUGCAUUCGAUACGGGCUAGCUAGAGUGUGGUAGGGGAGAUCGGAAUUCCUGGUGUAGCGGUGAAAUGCGCAGAUAUCAGGAGGAACACCAAUGGCGAAGGCAGAUCUCUGGGCCGUAACUGACGCUGAGGAGCGAAAGCAUGGGGAGCGAACAGG
rnacentral:rRNA from 1 species